GUCACUGCUAGCUUUUACUCUCUUAAAGGUGCACUCAGCAAUAUUCCCACUCCUGAUAAUGGUCCUACAAAGCAAGUAGAAGGCAGAGGCUACACAGGUGGUUACCCAGUGAAGAAAGCAAGCUGCUUAACUUGGAGAUAAGAAGAGAGAAGGUCUAUAGCAGCUGCAAAGUGAGUGAAGAGCUAUCAGAAAAAAGUAUGUUUGUUUUGAAUGUCACUAAACAAAAAAGGUGUGAUGUGCAACUUGAAGAGUUGCAGGUUGCUGUGCCGAACACUACUGGAAGGAUUUCAAAGUAACUUGUACCCAGGAGAUAACUGGAACAUUGAGGAACAAUGCAGUGAAUAAUAAGGAGCUGUGGCAUACUUGGUUUUGAGUCAAAAAAAAGGAAACAGAAUAUAAAUCCAGAUCCCCUUGUAGUAAUUCUUAGUAAACUAUAGUGUUAAGAAUUAAAGCAAACACUGAAAAAUUAUGUAAAUAGUAAAAUCUUUUAAACACAUGAAAUCUAGUGUAGUUCUUUUAGUUGAUCAUUCAAAUAUUUAACUUUCACUUUAAACAUGUACAGUCUCUAGAGACUAUUGCAUUUUGUUAUGAUCUAUCUGGUACAGUUGAUUUCAAAGAAGUCAUAACGUUAAGACAUUGAGAUAGGGCCCUUAAAUUAAAUUGCUAGUUGCUGGUAAUCAAAUAGGAUUGCUUGCUUACUCUCACCUAUGUUAGGAUCAACAAUGCAUCCAAAAACUGGAUUCACCCUCCAAUAUCUUUGCAAACUAGUUCAAAGUAUCCUCACCCCGAGACCAGAUAGGGUUUUCAAUCUGCUUAGAAGAUUUGUGUGAGUCCAUUGUUGUUAAAUUCCCUACAAUUAUAUUAAAGCUACCCAAUCUCCUUCUAACCACCAUCUUGUAUAGCAUCCUGCUCUAAGCUGCUAACGACAACAUUCUGGCUGGUGCAGUCUCCCAUUAUUGCUUAGUCACCAAUCACCAAUUAUCAUGUACCUCUUUACCAAAAACAAUUCUAAAGCAAACUGAGACACUGAUUCCCCUCUCUUCUAUGUUGAGGAAUCUCGAACUUUCACUGAGUCAGUAAGUCUAAGCUAGAGGGUGAUAGGUCUACUGUAGCCACAUUCGCAGAGGGCAAUAUACCAUUUAUCUCCCACACUGUAAUUCAAACAUAGCAUGCUUUACCAUAUUUUGGUCUAUAUUAUCCAUACCUACUAAUUAGAUAGGGUUGACAUGGUAUUUUUAAAAGACAAACAGCCACUAGGCUCUGUACUCCAACAAAGGAGGGGGAAAAAAACUGGAGGCUCAAAUAUUGGCAUGUGUCAAACAUCUUCAACAAAGGAGGGGGAAAAAAACUGGAGGCUCAAAUAUUGGCAUGUGUCAAACAUCUUCCAGUAGAUAGCAUAAAGAAAGCGAAUCCAAGAAAUGGAUGAUCAGAAAUAUUUACUUGACCAAGGGCAGACAGAGGAACAGGCAACAAGGGAGAUAGUGUGCUCACAAUUUCAGGGUGGCUUUUCUAAUCCAUAACUAUUUAAAUGUGCACUGCUACAAUAACAUAAGAUAGAAGUAGAUGAUAUUGGGCUUGACCACUGAUCUGUCAUUCAAUACCAUCAUGGUCAAUCUUGGGCUUUAAAUUCACUUUCCUACCCCAUCUCAUAUAGGCUAUUACCUUAGAGAUUAAAAAUGUCAGUAAUGGAGUGUUCACAACCAUCUUGGUUAGAAAACUCCAAAGAUUUACAGCUCUUGCAAUUAAAAAUUGCUCAUCUUAGUCAUGAACUCUUUAUCCUGAGACAAUACUCUACUGCUCUCUAAAAUUAAGCAAUCUUUGUUGGCUGUCAUAGACAAAAGGCAUUACAAGUGAUAGCACCGCAAGCAGGACAAUAUUCAGCAUUACUGUAGAAGGAAACAAAACAGGACAAAAAGUCUGUGCUGCCUGAACAACUGGCAAAGGUUCUGACCUCUGGUCAAUAUUAGAUGACUUUUCUUCAAAACAUAAACGUAGUUACCAGAUGAGAAAUAAUCACACAAAUGAAAUUUGAACACAGUCACCAAAACCUAGCUAUAGUCAAUUUGUUUGGACACACCACUGCAAACAAAACAUCCAGUAGUCUUCAUUCCCAAUGACUGCCUAGACUGUUGGUAUACUUUGUGAAAGGUCUUAGGAACAUACAUGGAUGCCUUCCAGAAACAUUAACCAUGCAGAUUCACUUGAAGAUGUAUAUCACAAAAGCAGUGGAGUGUGUUUCAAUAGAAGUUAUUUCAGAUGGAAAAGUAUUUUCUUGUAAAUACGCUGGGAAUUACCCUUAAACCAAUGUUAUAGAAAUAUUAUUCAUUUUAACUAAAUAGGUAACUUUAGGCAGGUGGAGAAAUUGGAAUGAUAAUACAAAAAAUUCAAAUAUAACCUCAAUCAACCUUCAUAAACUACCAUCUUCUCUGAAGCAGACAUGAAGUAGAAAACCUGACCAUUUUAAUUGAAGUCAAUGAGAAAGUGGAUAACAGAAAAGAAUAACUUUCAAAUGGUACAUUUGUGCAGUGUAUUCUGGUGCCAGAUUUUAUUUGAAGGUCAUUUCGCUGCAAUAUGUUCACAGAAUUCCUU